GCAUGUGUAAGGUAUAAGUAUUGUACAGCGAAACUGCGAAUGGCUCAUUAAAACAGUUAUAGUUUAUUUGAUAUUUGAAAGUUACAUGGAUAACCGUGGCAAUUCUACAGCUAAUACAUGCUUCAAAACCUGACUUUACGGAAAGGUUGUAUUUAUUAGAUAUUAAACCAUCCCUUCGGGGUUGUGAUGAUUCAUAAUAACUGAUCGAAUCGAGGUUUACCUCGAUAAAUCAUUCAAGUUUCUGCCCUAUCAGCUUUAGAUGGUAGUGUAUUGGACUACCAUGGCUAUCACGGGUAACGGAGAAUUAGGGUUCGAUUCCGGAGAGGGAGCCUGAGAAAUGGCUACCACAUCUAAGGAUGGCAGCAGGCGCGAAAAUUGCCCAAUCCCGAUUCGGGGAGGCAGUGACAAGAAAUAACAACCCAGGACAUUGUUUCAGGGAUUGCAAUGAGAACAACUUAAAAACCUUAUCGAGCAACAACUGGAGGGCAAGUUCUGGUGCCAGCAGCCGCGGUAAUUCCAGCUCCAGUAGCGUAUAUUAAAGUUGCUGCAGUUAAAAAGCUCGUAGUUGAAUGUCUGCUUGUUAGAAUCGACUCUUCACAGAGGAGAUCUCUUCGAGCAUCUGCCUGCAAUCAUAUGUUCGGCCUUCACUGGUUGACUAUGUGAGCAAGCGUUUUACCUUGAGAAAAUUAGAGUGUUCCAGGCAGGCUUCAGCCGGAAUACAUUAGCAUGGAAUAAUGGAAUAGGACUGGGGACUAUUUAUUGGUUUGAGGCUCCAGUAAUGAUUAAUAGGAACAGUCGGGGGCAUUAGUACUUGACA
rnacentral:rRNA from 1 species